AACGAACGCUGGCGGCAUGCCUAACACAUGCAAGUCGAACGAAGGCUUCGGCCUUAGUGGCGCACGGGUGCGUAACGCGUGGGAAUCUGCCCCUCGGUUCGGAAUAACAGUUAGAAAUGACUGCUAAUACCGGAUGAUGACUUCGGUCCAAAGAUUUAUCGCCGAGGGAUGAGCCCGCGUAAGAUUAGGUAGUUGGUGGGGUAAAGGCCUACCAAACCGACGAUCUUUAGCUGGUCUGAGAGGAUGAUCAGCCACACUGGGACUGAGACACGGCCCAGACUCCUACGGGAGGCAGCAGUGGGGAAUAUUGGACGAUGGGCGAAAGCCUGAUCCAGCAAUGCCGCGUGAGUGAUGAAGGCCUUAGGGUUGUAAAGCUCUUUUACCAGGGAUGAUAAUGACAGUACCUGGAGAAUAAGCUCCGGCUAACUCCGUGCCAGCCGCCGCCGUAAGAC
rnacentral:rRNA from 1 species